GGGAUGGAGAGGGCGUCGCGCUGAAAUUGCGCAUGCGCAUCCCUGGAACCCGAAGUUGGUUUGUUCCGAGCAGCGUAUUUCAAUAUCGCGCGCGGAAACCAGCUGGCUGAUGCAGUGCUUGCCAGAGUUUGCCAAAUUAAGAAAACGGUUCCUCAAUUUUAAAAGAAGGAGAGUUGACAGUACCUUCUUCAUAAUAUUGCUGUGAGGAUUAAAUGAAAAUAAGUAAAGUGCAUAGAAUAGUGUCUGGCCCGAGGGUUGUCUGCUCACAGAUGAUAAUUGGCUUCUACUGACAAGGACUAGGGGAGAAAAUAGAUUGAAGUCGGUAAAAGUAUGGGGAGUAUCUGCCAAUGGUAUUAAAGUCAUCAUAUUGAAGAAAGGAGGAGAAUGAUAUGUUGGUUUGCCAAGUAGACCUGAAAAGCUAUCAGCUGCCAGCGUCACCCAGCCUGGCUCUACCUGUGGCCUCAGCCAAGCUCACUGUAGAGGACUGAAUGCUGGUCUCCAAAAAGGUAUGUCCGAAUCCGAACCCUGGUACCUGUGAAUGUGACCUUAUUUGGAUAAAGGCUCUUUGAAGAUGUAAUUGAGGUAAGGAGUUCCAGAUGAGAUCAUCCUGGAUUAACCGGAUGGACUCUAAAUCCAAAAAGCGUCCUUAGAAGAAGAGGAGAAUACAGACAGUAGAGGGGAAAAAGAGAAUCUGUGGAGGUGGAGGCAGAGAUUGGAGUUAUGCAGCUACAAGCCAAGGAGCCCCAAGGAUUACCUAGAGCCACCAGAAACUAAAGAGGCAAAAUAGGAUCCUCCUCUAGAGCCUUCGGAGGGAGCACUGCCCUGCCAACACCUUGAUUUUGAACUUCUAGCCUUUGGAACUGUGAGAGAAUAAAAUUCUGCGGGUUCAAGUCACAAAGUCUGUGGUAAUCUGUUAUGGCAACCCUGGGAAACUGAGACGCUAGCCUUACAGAAACAGAGUAAGCUGGUGGAUACUGUCUGCCUCUCCUGCCCAGGUCUCAGCUAACCUGGCCCUGAAGAAAGCAAUACUAGAUGUCAUUUGAAACCUUGCAGCCACAUCCUUUCUCCUGCCUCUCUUGGUCUCCCCUCAAAAUACAAUCUCCUGCGUUUAGCCUCUCUCAUACAUUACCCCUCAGGACGUUUGUGCUGCUUCUUGCUUCACCCAUGCUCCCGCUACUCCACUUCCAAACAGGGCUGGCUACGGAAUUUGCAGGGCUCAAUGCAAAAGAAAAAUGUGAGGUCACUUGUUUAAAAAUGAAGCAUUUCAAGGCAGG
rnacentral:lncRNA from 1 species